rnacentral:rRNA from 1 species
GACUCUUGGCAAUGGGUAUCUUGGCUCUCGCAUCGAUGAAGAACGUAGCAAAAUGCGAUACUUAGUGUGAAUUGUAGAAUCCCGUGAACCAUUGAGUCUUUGAACGCAAGUUGCGCCCCAAGCCUUCUGGCCGAGGGUACGUCUUCCUGAGUAUCA